rnacentral:rRNA from 1 species
UGGGGGAUAUUGCACAAUGGGGGAAACCCUGAUGCAGCGACGCCGCGUGAGGGAAGACGGUCCUCUGGAUUGUAAACCUCUGUCUUCGGGGACGAAAGAAGACGGUACCCGAGGAGGAAGCCACGGCUAACUACGUGCCAGCAGCCGCGGUAAUACGUAGGUGGCAAGCGUUGUCCGGAAUUACUGGGUGUAAAGGGAGCGUAGGCGGGCAGGCAAGUCAGGCGUGAAAUAUAUCGGCUCAACCGGUAACGGCGCUUGAAACUGCAGGUCUUGAGUGAAGUAGAGGUUGGCGGAAUUCCUAGUGUAGCGGUGAAAUGCGUAGAUAUUAGGAGGAACACCAGUGGCGAAGGCGGCCAACUGGGCUUUUACUGACGCUGAGGCUCGAAAGUGUGGGGAGCAAACAGG